AAUCCAUGAGUCGGAGAUUGAGCUAGAUAAUAUUUGAAACGCUCCCAUGCUGCAUAUAGUUGUUCCCCCGGAAGUUGUUUGAACCCAAAAAUCUUGUCUCGAAGUUC